rnacentral:sRNA from 1 species
ACUGCUUUUCUUUGAAAUCCCCGGAUUGAGGAGCCCGCCAGUCUUUUUGACUGACGGGUUUUUUUAU